AUGCCGCCGGCGCCCGUUCCCCGGCUUGACGGGGCGUCCGUGCAGAUCGGGGACCUCCUCUACGUCGUCGCAGGGUACGGGAGCCUCGACCAUGUCCAUUCUCAUGUGGAUGUGUACAAUUUCACUUCUAACACAUGGACUGGAAGGUUUGAUAUGCCCAAGAUGUCAAAUUCACAUUUAGGGAUGGCCUCAGAUGGGAGAUACAUCUAUGCAGUGUCUGGACAAUUUGGUCCACAGUGUCGGCCAGCUGUGAGCCGUAAUUUUGUUCUAGACACAAAGUUAAGGAAGUGGGACGAAUUGCCUCCUUUACCUGUUCCUAGGUAUGCACCAGCUACUCAACUUUGGCGUGGGCGGCUUCAUGUGAUGGGUGGUGGCAAAGAAGACCGCCAUGAACCUGGAUUAGAGCACUGGAGCCUUGCUGUGAAGGAUGCCAAAGCAUUGGAGAAUGAGUGGCGAGCUGAAAUACCGAUACCACGUGGUGGACCUCAUAGGGCAUGUGUUGUUGCUAACGACAAACUCUUUGUGAUUGGUGGUCAAGAGGGAGACUUCAUGCCUAAACCAGGGUCACCUAUUUUUAAAUGCGCAAGGAGGCAUGAGGUUGUUUAUGGUGAUGUGUAUAUGCUAGACAAUGAAGCUAAAUGGAAGCAACUGUCUCCAAUGCCAAAGCCAGAUUCCCACAUAGAAUUUGCAUGGGUCGUUGUUAAUAACUCCAUAGUAAUUGUUGGCGGAACUACCGAGAAGCACCCUAUCACCAAAAAGAUGAUUCUUGUUGGUGAAGUCUUCCGGUUUGAUUUGGAAACAUUGAAAUGGUCAGUCAUUGGUCGUAUGCCUUUCCGGAUCAAGACAGCCUUAGCUGGUUACUGGGAUGGUUGGCUCUAUUUCACUUCUGGGCAGAGGGAUAGGGGACCUGAUAAUCCAAGUCCUAAGAAAGUUGUUGGUUCUAUGUGGAGAACGAAACUGCACGUCUGGUGUCCAAUGUUUGAACCAGAGGUUUCUGUAUAUUCUUAA
rnacentral:rRNA from 1 species